rnacentral:rRNA from 1 species
GAUGAACGCUGGCGGCGUGCUUAACACAUGCAAGUCGAACGAAGACAUCUGAGUGCUUGCACUUGGAUGGACUGAGUGGCGGACGGGUGAGUAACGCGUGGGUAACCUGCCUUAUACAGGGGGAUAACAGUUGGAAACGACUGCUAAUACCGCAUAAGCGCACGGUAUCGCAUGAUACAGUGUGAAAAACUCCGGUGGUAUAAGAUGGACCCGCGUCUGAUUAGCUUGUUGGUGAGGUAACGGCCCACCAAGGCGACGAUCAGUAGCCGGCCUGAGAGGGUGAACGGCCACAUUGGGACUGAGACACGGCCCAAACUCCUACGGGAGGCAGCAGUGGGGAAUAUUGCACAAUGGGGGAAACCCUGAUGCAGCGACGCCGCGUGAGUGAUGAAGUAUUUCGGUAUGUAAAGCUCUAUCAGCAGGGAAGAAAAUGACGGUACCUGACUAAGAAGCCCCGGCUAAACUACGUG